UACGUAGGGUGCAAGCGUUGUCCGGAAUUAUUGGGCGUAAAGAGCUCGUAGGCGGUCUGUUACGUCGGCUGUGAAAACCUGGGGCUCAACUCCGGGCCUGCAGCCGAUACGGGCAGACUAGAGUUCGGCAGGGGAGACUGGAAUUCCUGGUGUAGCGGUGAAAUGCGCAGAUAUCAGGAGGAACACCGGUGGCGAAGGCGGGUCUCUGGGCAUUAACUGACGCUGAGGAGCGAAAGCAUGGGAGCGAACAGGA
rnacentral:rRNA from 1 species